UGAAUUCUUCAGCUGCUACAAUAUCUGCAAACAUUAACAGUAUCCCUGUGCUUAACAGCACAAACUUUAAGGAAUGGAAAGAGAACAUUAUGAUAGAGGUAUAGGACAAGCACAAGAUUAGAGGAUUUGAACAUCUAAGAUUCUACACAUCAUCAUCGAAGGGUUUGUUUCCAAGAUUGACAAAAUCUAUGAGAAUAUAUAUUAAGAAGUU
rnacentral:lncRNA from 1 species